GUUCUGGUAACUUAUUGGUAAGAACGUCCGCCUCGAAUGCGGGAGGUCGCGGGUUUGAACCCCGGCCAAGUCAUAACA